rnacentral:rRNA from 1 species
UGGGGGAUUUUGCACAAUGGGCGCAAGCCUGAUGCAGCGACGCCGCGUGAGGGAUGAAGGCCUUCGGGUUGUAAACCUCUUUCGCUGGGUUGAAAGGCCAUGCUUUGGGUGUGGUUGAUUUGAACUGGUAAAGAAGUACCGGCUAACUACGUGCCAGCAGCCGCGGUAAUACGUAGGGUACUAGCGUUGUCCGGAUUUAUUGGGCGUAAAGGGCUUGUAGGUGGUUUGUCGCGUCUGUCGUGAAAUCCUGUGGCUUAACCAUGGGCUUGCGGUGGGUACGGGCAGGCUUGAGGGCGGUAGGGGAGAGUGGAAUUCCUGGGGUAGCGGUGGAAUGCGCAGAUAUCAGGAGGAACACCGGGGGCGAAGGCGGGUCUCUGGGCCGUUACUGACACGGAGGAGCGAAAGCGUGGGGAGCGAACAGG